rnacentral:rRNA from 1 species
UACAUGCAAGUCGAACGCACAGCGAAAGGUGCUUGCACCUUUCAAGUGAGUGGCGAACGGGUGAGUAACACGUGGACAACCUGCCUCAAGGCUGGGGAUAACAUUUGGAAACAGAUGCUAAUACCGAAUAAAACUUAGUGUCGCAUGACACAAAGUUAAAAGGCGCUUCGGCGUCACCUAGAGAUGGAUCCGCGGUGCAUUAGUUAGUUGGUGGGGUAAAGGCCUACCAAGACAAUGAUGCAUAGCCGAGUUGAGAGACUGAUCGGCCACAUUGGGACUGAGACACGGCCCAAACUCCUACGGGAGGCUGCAGUAGGGAAUCUUCCACAAUGGGCGAAAGCCUGAUGGAGCAACGCCGCGUGUGUGAUGAAGGCUUUCGGGUCGUAAAGCACUGUUGUAUGGGAAGAACAGCUAGAAUAGGAAAUGAUUUUAGUUUGACGGUACCAUACCAGAAAGGGACGGCUAAAUACGUGCCAGCAGCCGCGGUAAUACGUAUGUCCCGAGCGUUAUCCGGAUUUAUUGGGCGUAAAGCGAGCGCAGACGGUUUAUUAAGUCUGAUGUGAAAGCCCGGAGCUCAACUCCGGAAUGGCAUUGGAAACUGGUUAACUUGAGUGCAGUAGAGGUAAGUGGAACUCCAUGUGUAGCGGUGGAAUGCGUAGAUAUAUGGAAGAACACCAGUGGCGAAGGCGGCUUACUGGACUGCAACUGACGUUGAGGCUCGAAAGUGUGGGUAGCAAACAGGAUUAGAUACCCUGGUAGUCCACACCGUAAACGAUGAACACUAGGUGUUAGGAGGUUUCCGCCUCUUAGUGCCGAAGCUAACGCAUUAAGUGUUCCGCCUGGGGAGUACGACCGCAAGGUUGAAACUCAAAGGAAUUGACGGGGACCCGCACAAGCGGUGGAGCAUGUGGUUUAAUUCGAAGCAACGCGAAGAACCUUACCAGGUCUUGACAUCCUUUGAAGCUUUUAGAGAUAGAAGUGGU